AAUCGACGACAUCAGCUGCUCCAUAAGUUCCCACACGAAUUGCUUGAUUCAUUGAAGAAGACGAUAGAAGCAGCCCGAAAUUGGGUCUGUAGCUCAGUUGGUUAGAGCGCACCCCUGAUAAGGGUGAGGUCGGCAGUUCGAAUCUGCCCAGACCCACCAAUUUUGUGUGGGAAACGCCUGUAGAAAUACGGGGCCAUAGCUCAGCUGGGAGAGCGCCUGCCUUGCACGCAGGAGGUCAGCGGUUCGAUCCCGCUUGGCUCCACCACUACUGCUUCUGAAGUUUGAAAGCUUAGAAAUGAGCAUUCCAUCAGAUUGAUGCUGAAUGUUGAUUUCUAGUCUUUGACUGGAUCGUUCUUUAAAAAUUUGGGUAUGUGAUAGAAAGAUAGACUGAAAGCCACUUUCACUGGUGGUGAUCAGGCUAAGGUAAAAUUUGUGAUUGGCUCAAUGAGCCAGAUCGAAUUUUCGGCGAAUGUCGUCUUCACAGUAUAACCAGAUUGCUUGGGGUUAUAUGGUCA
rnacentral:tRNA from 1 species